GAAAAAAGAAGACAACUAGUUUCUGUACCCAACGUUUGACUGUCCGUCUUUCAAAUUAUGAAAAAAAAUAAAAAGACAAGUCACGUAUAAAAUAUUAAUAAUAUUUUAUCAUCUAACAACAAUGAAAAUACGAAUUAUAAAAAAAUUUCAUAUAAGACGGACCGUCAAAGUUGGACACGGAAAUCCAGGGUUUGUCUUUUU
rfam:Oryza glaberrima chromosome 3 Oglab03_0141_4, whole genome shotgun sequence.